rnacentral:rRNA from 1 species
AGGGUUCGAUUAUGGCUCAGGAUGAACGCUAGCUACAGGCUUAACACAUGCAAGUCGAGGGGCAGCAUGACGGAAGCUUGCUUCCGUUGAUGGCGACCGGCGCACGGGUGAGUAACGCGUAUCCAACCUGCCCUUGUCCAUCGGAUAACCCGUCGAAAGGCGGACUAACACGAUAUGCAGUCCACAGCAGGCAUCUAACGUGGACGAAAUGUGAAGGAGAAGGAUGGGGAUGCGUCUGAUUAGCUUGUUGGCGGGGUAACGGCCCACCAAGGCGACGAUCAGUAGGGGUUCUGAGAGGAAGGUCCCCCACAUUGGAACUGAGACACGGUCCAA